rnacentral:rRNA from 1 species
GGUAUAUAUUAUAUUAUCAACAUCCUUCCUAUUAUAUUUCUAAAUAUAUAGGAAACUUUACUUUGAGAAAAUUAGAGUGCUUAAAGCUGGCAACUGCCUUGAAUACUCCAGCAUGGAAUAAUAAGUAAGGACUUUUGUCUUUCUUAUUGGUUGUAGGACAAAAGUAAUGGUUAAUAGGGACAGUUGGGGGCAUUCGUAUUUAACAGCCAGAGGUGAAAUUCUUAGAUUUGUUAAAGACGAACUACUGCGAAAGCAUUUGCCAAGGAUGUUUUCAUUAAUCAAGAACGAAAGUUAGGGGAUCGAAGACGAUCAGAUACCGUCGUAGUCUUAACCAUAAACUAUGCCGACUAGAG